AUUAAGAUUUUGGUUUGAACCUCUAAAAGAUUACGUAUGAUGUUUGCUUUGAAUAGGGAAAAAUACUUAAGUGAAUUUUUAGGUUUAGAAAAUGUGAUGAUUUUAAAGGGUGAUUGUUCUGUAGGUUUCAUAAUGUUUUAGAUUGUACAGGUACAUUUUUAUGAUGUGAUAUUAGCUUCACUGAUUUUGUAGAGUUUAACUUCUGUGAAAGAAAACAUAUUUUUUAUACCUAGUUUUUCAAAGUGAUGAGCCUAGCACCACGGUUAUUGUAUCAUGUUGCCGACUAGGAUCUGCAUUUUUAAUUACAGGCAUUAUAACUGGUGAUGAUUGGUUUCUGUCACUCUGAUUAGCAGUUCUGAAUUAGGGAUAGCUGUGGCUGUACCUAUUCAAUCUACUUGUUACAUAAGGUUCCCCUCAGGGUUUAAAUACUAGACAUUUUUCAGAGUCUAUCAUGCAUUUCAAUAAUUAGAUACUGAGUAAUAUAAUGUUUCAGUAGCAAUGAUAAUAGUAUUCUGUUGUUUUGUUUUAUCAUAUGAAAUUGAAUCCAAUCUUGUAUGUUAUCAUGGAAAAAAUCUGAAAAAAAAUUGUUUUUAUUAUUAUUUUUAUUGAUGAAAUAAGUUUUCCAACUAUAAUAGGCAUGUAGUGACCAUUUUGUUUUUGAUUUAGCCAUUAAAAAAACACUAUUUAUACUAAAACGUACCUUUCUGAAUAUUUUUUGCACACAUAACUACUAUUUAGGGGAUUGUAAGUUUAAAAAAAAAAUUUCUCUUUAUUCUCAAUCUUUGAUAUUACUUUGUUAAUGUGGGUCUAAUGUUGAAACUUAACACCAUAAAACAUGUUUUUCACAAUAAAGGAUCAUAUUUGUUUUAUUUUUCUUAACCUUUAAAGUUAAGGAUUUUGUUAUUUCCUGCACAUUUGUCAGAAUAUGGGGACCCAAACAAUGUAGAGGAACCUUGAAAGAGAAAUACUUACAAAGAAACAGUGACUUUUGUAGGUUUGUGGGAGUGAUUUUUUUUUCGCUGCAAAUUGGUUUCUGACUAUCAGUUUUUCUAAUGUGUUUUCACUGAGAAUAUAAACUUGUAUUGAUCUUUCUGAACUCUCUACAAGUAUCAGACGCUAACCUGCAAAUUCAAGGUUUCCAUAACCUGCAAAUUCAAGGUUUCCAGAAUGUUAAAUAUUACCAGUGCAGCUGGUGUGAAAGUGAUCUUUAUGAAAAUUAGAAAAAAUGUAAGCUGUGAAAGUGGUCAAAGAAGGUAUAUCUCUGACAAAGAUGACAAUGCAAAUGUCCAAAAUGAAAAAUAACCCCCAUAAGAAAGCUCUUAAUCAUGAAAAAAAAAUAGUGUGAGGAUUGAUGAUUUGCAGGGGGUGAUAAACAGUACUGAAAACUGGUUACCAUGUGCAGCUUGGUUAGACAAAUGACCAUUUGCUAAAGCUGGUCGACUUUGGCACUGUGUAACUUUUCAUACAUACAGCCUUCAAUCUUUCCACCUGUAGCAAAAUGCUCAUCACAUUACAUCCUAACCAUAUUUGUCAUUUACUCAGCAAAUAGUUACUGUUCUGUGUCACUGAAUGGCUGGUUACAUCUGCUGGUAAAAAGUUCAGGUGACACUUCAUUGUUGUUUUGUACUUCCAGUUUUAGUUUCCACAGUUUUUGUUGUGUACGUACAUCUCUUGAAUUAAAUCUGAUUUGUUUUGGUGGUUGAUAUAGUGUUGUAUACUUUCAUAAUUGUAACAUUAUGUUGUGUAAAUUAUAUAAUAUUGUAGAAUAACUUGUUAUUAGAUAGUUUUUAUGUAUCAUAUAUGAUUUUAGGAUUUUUCAACAGAAAAUACAAAAUAUAAAUGAACCUUUCAUAAAUUUAAGAGGUAGGUAGUGUAUAAUUUAUUAAUUUAGGGUGAAACAUUAUAAAUAAAUAUCUUUAUAUUUGAAAAUUGUCAUUAAACAAUGGUGUGAGUUGUUCACAUAAUGGACUUGGUCAUUACCUAAAGACUAAUCAGGUACAGUCUUUUGGAUUGAGUAAUCAAAAAUGUAUUUAUAUUAUUGUAGACAAAAGUACUUCAUGCUGUUGUGACAUUAAGCAUUUUAUUCAGUUGUAUACAAUGUCUAUAUUAUACAUAGAUAUAAAUAACCAUGCAAUAUAGUUAAACAGUGGUAAUCGUGUUGUGCUGUUUUGAGAACAAUAAACAAAAUAUGCAUAAUUUGAUUGUUGAAGUUUGUAGACAGCUUGAAUGGGUAGUGAAGGAUACUUUGUUCCAGUUUCACGUAGUAACAAGUAACAAAUGUACAUUUCAACAUGGUUUCGUCAUCACUAAGUACAAGUAACUGAACUAGACACGGGAAUAUACAUACAGUAUGGAAUAAAGAUGUCACAUGAAUAGAGACUGCUUAAUGGCUUAGUAAAGUUAUCUUGGCAACCCAGAGUGUUGGUUUAGGAUAAAGCUGUGUUGUUCAAUUAAGAUUUCUUUUAUUUUUAUGUUUAUUGAUGUCUUCAUGUUUAAUAUUAGUGUUUUUAUAUAUGUAUGUUAUGUGUUUUUUAGUUGUAAUUGUAAUAAACAUGGGAUGGUUUUUUAUUAAGUGCAGUAAAUGUGGUUUCUAAUUUUCUUCCAGUUUCUCUGAUGUAUAAUUCUGUGGAGUUAUUACACAUUAUUUUGUAAAUGAUGUUGCUUUUGUGUGACUACAUAAUUUUUAUUUGGUAAUGAUUUUAGUUUAGGGCUAGAUUUAAGAGAAAUGGAAGUUAAUCAGAAUUUUAUGUUUAAUGGCAAAUUUUGUCCAAGUGUGAAUUAUUUUUGAACUGACUUCAGGGAUAAUUAGUAAACUGAAGUGUAAUGUUGCGUUGUUGUUGUUUGAUUCAUUAGUAUCAGUUUUGCUCGUGAGUUAAGUUUUGAUGGUUUUUUUUUGUGGUGAUAGAUUGAAAUUUUUUCAACAAUAACUGGAGGAAAUUUGUACAUGUGAAUGAAGAAAUGCUUUAUAAGGUUCAUUUCAUCAUCUGUUUAGCAGUCUUUAUAAGGUUCAUUUCAUCAUCUGUUUAGCAGUCUUUAUAAGGUUCAUUUCAUCAUCUGUUUAGCAGUCUUUAUAAGGUUCAUUUCUUCAUCUGUUUAGCAGUCUUUACAAGGUUCAUUUCAUCAUCUGCUUAGCAGUCUUUAUAAGGUUCAUUUCUUCAUCUGUUUUGCAGUCUUUAUAAGGUUCAUUUCUUCAUCUGUUUAGCAGUCUUUACAAGGUUCAUUUCUUCAUCUGUUUAGUAGUCUUUAAGAGGUUCAUUUCUUCAUCUGUUUAGCAGUCUUUAUAAGGUUCAUUUCUUCAUCUGUUUAGCAGUCUUUACAAGGUUCAUUUCUUCAUCUGUUUAGCAGUUUUACAAGGUUCAUUUCUUCAUCUGUUUAGCAGUCUUUAUGAGGUUCAUUUCUUCAUCUGUUUAGCAGUCUUUAUGAGGUUCAUUUCUUCAUCUGUUUAGCAGUCUUCAUAACGUUCAUUUCUUCAUCUGUUUAGCAGUCAUUAUAAGGUUUUCUAAUGUAUUGAUUUUUUUGUUUGGUUUCAUGAACAGAAUCUUGGUGGAUGUAUAGACCAAUGGACGUGUUCUUAUGGUGAAUUGUGGUUUUGAACUAUGUGUCAGAUCUAAUAAUGUUAAGAAAAGAUAACUUUGUUGUUUUCACGUUUGAUGGUAAAUUUAAUGUUGGGGUGAAUGGAGUUUAUAUGCUCAAAGAAGGUUUUUAUGUGCUUGAUGAAAGUGAAUCCAGCAAAAUUAUCAUUGAUAUUAUCUGCACCAGUAUAUAGAGGGAUGAAGUGCAGAAUUUUUGCCUGCUGUUUUGGCUCGUCAUAAAUAUUUUGGCAAUAAACAGGUGAAACAAGAUUGCCCAUGCUUAAACCAGCAUUGUUGAAAAUGAAGUUGGUUUUAGCUGUUGUAAAUUGUAUGAGGAUGACAAAAAUUGUGCUAUGGAUGUGAAUUAAUGGAUUAGGGUAAUUGAAUGUAGAGGUUGAGAGCACUAUUGUGGGAACUUCAGUGGCAAGUGAAACAACAUCAGAGCUAACCAUUAAGGUUUUAGAUUUUAAUUAGUCUAGUGUGUUUUUGAAAUUCAAGACAUCUUUGAAAAAGGAGCCUGCAAAUGUUGAAUAUUGUGUGAGAACCCAGGUUAUGUACCUGCCAAGCUUAUACUUAAAUGAGUCAUUAGUGGAGUAUAGGUCAAAUGGGGCAAAUGUUUGUGUGGUUUAGGAAUGUCAUAAAGUUGUGGUUUGUGCAAGUCAGUUUUAUAUAGAUAAACAUAUAGGUCAUUAGUAAUUAAGUUAUUUUUUCAUUUGUGAUAAAUUUCUGUUCAGUUGUUUUUUCAUGUGUUUUUGUUGGAUUGUUUGGAAUGGGUGCGAAUUUCUUUUUAUCAGAAAGUUUACGAUUUAUUUUGUUGAUGUGUUCCUUGUUGUUUAUGAUGACAGUAGUGUGUUGCCUUUAUUGACUUUUUAACUCUUAAUGUUCUUGUCUUUCUUUAGAUUAUAGAUACAUUUGAUCUCAUUGUUUGUGAGAUUGCUUUUCAGUUUACAUGUUUGGUUAAGUGUGUUAAUGGUCUUUAAAAAGUUGUUUAAAAUUCAGUUUUGUGGAACUUCAGAAAACCACAUUUAGUUGUAGUUACUUGUAAUAAAAGUCUUGUGGUUCAACAUCUGGAUUUUUUCUUCUAGCUUGAAAUUGUUUAAGGUACAGAUAGCCUUUUAUUCUCUUAUGAAGUGGAUCACUAGUCUUCUGGCUAGGCAGGGAACUAUUUUGUGGUUGAGGCCUUUGUUCAGAAGUUACUGUUCUGUGUCACUGAAUAGCUGGUCACAUCUGUUGGUAAAAAGGUCAGGUGACACUUCAUUGUUGUUUUGGACUUCCAGUUUUAGUUUCCACAGUUUUUGUUGUGUAUGUACAUCUCUUGAAUUAAAUUUGAGUUGUUUUGGUGGUUGAUAUAGUGUUGUAUACUUCCGUAAUUAUCUGGUUUGAGGUAGCAGUAUACUUGGUGGUCUAAUUUCUGUUUACAUUUUUGUAAGCAUUCUAAUUCUUAAUAUUUAUAACUCUGGAUUGCUUUUAAGAGUUUUUUCAUAUUGUAUGUGUAUCCCUGUGUCAAGUAAACUACUUGUAUAUGCUUAUGACAAAAUCUUGUUGAAACAUCGUACAUUUCUUACUAUGUUAAACUUUUAAUAACAUUUUCUUUGUUACCCAUUCAAACCAUCUUCAAACAUUAUUAGUCUCUAAGUGGGUUCCUAGUCAUAAGAGUUUUUAAAAAUUAUCAUCAGUCAUUUUUAAUAUUUUUACUAGAUGUUUAUAUACAAACAAAUUGCCAUGAAUUUCUAGUGAAGCACUUCAUCUUUGUGUAAAGAUAGUGAUACAUACCACAUUGUAAACAUAAAUAAGUAACCCGUGCUUAAAAUUAUUGACAGAUUGGACAGUUUUAAAUCAUUUUAAUGGGAAAAUUAAUGGAACUAGAUUAAAAAAAAAAGCAACUAAAUGUGAUUGUUGGUAUGUAGUGGUAGUAGUAAUCAGAUGUUUUAUAUCAGUAAGGUCAAAUAAUAAGGUUAUUUAUAUUGAACUAUUAUAUGUGUAUAAAAUUUAAAUAGUUGUUUUGAACUGGAUAUGAUAUCAUUAUGUAUUAUUAAAUUGAAUGCCAAAUAAAACUGUUAUACCUUAA